rnacentral:rRNA from 1 species
ACAAUGGGGGCAACCCUGAUCCAGCAAUGCCAUGUGUGUGAAGAAGGCCCUAGGGUUGUAAAGCACUUUAGUUGGGGAGGAAAGCCUCAAGGUUAAUAGCCUUGGGGAGGACGUUACCCAAAGAAUAAGCACCGGCUAACUCCGUGCCAGCAGCCGCGGUAAUACGGGGGGUGCAAGCGUUAAUCGGAAUUACUGGGCGUAAAGGGUCUGUAGGUGGUUUGUUAAGUCAGAUGUGAAAGCCC